AGCAGAGACAACUAUCUCAAGUGUGUUUAUUCCUUUUGGAAGCUGAAUAUUCCAUGAGCUCGUGAAAAUCACCAGGGGAAGGUGACUUUCACGGUGGUAGUCCUCCUGUCCCAUGGGUCAACAGCCACGUCUUGAGAGAGACUCGUCAUGGUCACUGUGUUACUCAGGGUGCAUUGGCACUGCUGCUUCCAACAUUUCUGAGGCCCAGAGGAAAAAUGAAAUGGAAACCCACAUAUAAAAGUCUAAAUACUUAAAGCAUAAAUCAAGUGAACAUACACUUAUGUAAAUGUUCCCUUACCAUGACA